rnacentral:rRNA from 1 species
AUGAACGCUGGCGGCGUGCUUAACACAUGCAAGUCGAACGGGGUGCUCAUGACGGAGGAUUCGUCCAACGGAUUGAGUUACCUAGUGGCGGACGGGUGAGUAACGCGUGAGGAACCUGCCUUGGAGAGGGGAAUAACACUCCGAAAGGAGUGCUAAUACCGCAUGAUGCAGUUGGGUCGCAUGGCUCUGACUGCCAAAGAUUUAUCGCUCUGAGAUGGCCUCGCGUCUGAUUAGCUAGUAGGCGGGGUAACGGCCCACCUAGGCGACGAUCAGUAGCCGGACUGAGAGGUUGACCGGCCACAUUGGGACUGAGACACGGCCCAGACUCCUACGGGAGGCAGCAGUGGGGAAUAUUGGGCAAUGGGCGCAAGCCUGACCCAGCAACGCCGCGUGAAGGAAGAAGGCUUUCGGGUUGUAAACUUCUUUUGUCGGGGACGAAACAAAUGACGGUACCCGACGAAUAAGCCACGGCUAACUACGUGCCAGCAGCCGCGGUAAUACGUAGGUGGCAAGCGUUAUCCGGAUUUACUGGGUGUAAAGGGCGUGUAGGCGGGAUUGCAAGUCAGAUGUGAAAACUGGGGGCUCAACCUCCAGCCUGCAUUUGAAACUGUAGUUCUUGAGUGCUGGAGAGGCAAUCGGAAUUCCGCGUGUAGCGGUGAAAUGCGUAGAUAUACGGAGGAACACCAGUGGCGAANGCGGAUUGCUGGACAGUAACUGACGCUGA